CAGCAGCCGCGGGAAUACGUAGGGUGCAAGCGUUAAUCGGAAUUACUGGGCGCAAAGCGUGCGCAGGCGGUUCGUUAAGACAGAUGUGAAAUCCCCGGGCUUCACCUGGGAACUGCAUUUGUGACUGGCGGGCUAGAGUAUGGCAGAGGGGGGUAGAAUUCCACGUGUAGCAGUGAAAUGCGUAGAGAUGUGGAGGAAUACCGAUGGCGAAGGCAGCCCCCUGGGCCAAUACUGACGCUCAUGCACGAAAGCGUGGGGAGCAAACAGGAUUAGAGACCCCAGUAGUCCCUGUCUCUUAUAC
rnacentral:rRNA from 1 species